GUCAUGGAAAAGAUGGUGGGUAGGCCUACGCCCAAAUGAUUUUCCGAUUUGGAGCUGGAGUCGGAGGAACCCAUUAAAGAAGCCGUGCGGGAAAAAAAGGAAGAAAGGUGAACAUGGCAUUGGUCUACACUGAGUUGACAGAGGAGCUGGGUCGUGUAAGAGGUCUGGCUGUCAAACACACUGAGAUCCUGAGGAAGGCAUUCCACAAGCAGACGGGUCAGGAUGCCCCAACACGAGAUCCAAAUAUUAAAGAUUAUAAAUGUGUACCUGGCAGAAAGGGGGUGAAAGGGGGUGGGACCUCAUGGGACCUCAUGGACUGGAUGGAAUGGCUGGAGCAACUGGACUGGAAGGAGAUAAAAGUGACAAAGGAGAUCAAGGAAACAUGGGGAUGCCUGGUGCUCUGGGGCUACUUGGGAAACAGGAAUUGAAAGGUCUACAAUACUCCCUAGAUUUAAUCAAAGUGAUGUGUAUUAUCACUAGCAUCAUGGAGUAACACCACAUGGAGUAACAAUACAGAGUAACAUGACAAAAUGAUAGUGCUAGAAGAUCACACUAUAUUGGAGGAGAAUAUUAGUCAUCUUAGACUGAAUAAACACCUCCCUCUGCAACUGGAUUCUGGACUUCCUGACGGGCCACCACUAGGUGGUAAGGGUAAGUGACAACACAUCCGCCACGCUGAUCCUCAACACAGGGGCCCCUCAGGGGUGCGUGCUCAGUCCCCUUCUAUACUCCCUGUUCACUCAUGACUGCACGGCUAGGCACGACUCCAACACCAUCAUUAAGUUUGCCAACAGUGGUAGGACUGAUCACCAACAACGACGAGACAGCCUAUAUGGAGGAGGUCAGAGACCUGGCCGUGUGGUGCCAGGAUAACGACUUCUCCCACAACAUGAUCAAGACAAAGGAGAUGAUUGUGAACUACAGGAAAAAGAGGACCGAGCACGCCCCCAUUCUCAUUGACAGGGCUGUAGUGGAGCAGGUUGAGAGCUUCAAGUUCCUUAGUGUCCACAUCACCAACAAACUAACAUGAUCCAAACACACCAAGACAGUCGUGAAGAGGGCACUACAAAACCUAUUCCCCCUCAGGAGACUGAAAAUAUUUGGCAUGGGUCCCCAGAUCCUCAAAAGGUUCUACAGCUGCACCAUCGCAACAUCCUCGAGACAUCCUCUUGGCGUCCGACUGCAAGGCACUACAGAGGGUAGUGAGUACGACCCAGUACAUCACUGGGGCCAAACUUCCUGCCAUCCAGGACCUCUAUAACAGGCGGUAUCAGAAGAAUGCCCUAAAAAUUGUCAAAGACUCCACCACUCCAGUCUUAGACUGUUUUCUCUGCUACCGCACAGCAAGCGGUACCGGAGUGCCAAGUCUAGGUCCAAGAGGCUCCUAAAUAGCUUCGAACCCCAAGCCAUAAGACUCCUGAACAGCUAAUCAAAUGACCCAGACGAUUUGCAUUGCCUCCCACCCUGCCCCUCUGGAACGCUGCUGCUACUCUGUUAUUAUCUAUGCAUGGUCACUUUAAUAACUCUACCUACAUGUACAUAUUACCUCAAUUACCUCGACACCGGUGCCCCCGCACAUUGACUCUGUACCGUUACCCCCUGUAUAUAGCCCCACUAUUGUUAUUUAAUGCUGCUCUUUAUUGAUGAUUUGUUAUUCUUAUCUCUUACUUUUUUUUAGGUAUUUUCUUAAAACUGCAUUGUUGGUUAAGGGUUUGUAAGAAACCAUUUCACUAAGUUCUACGUGUUACAUCUGCCCCUGCAACGCCCUCUACUCCUCAUCCUGUGUCUCCCUAACCUUCCGCCACUCCCCCAGUGCUCUCUCCCUCUCUUUCUCUGUGUGGGUGUAUGUGAAUGUGUGAGUGGAGACAGGUGUGCUGAAGGCAGAGCAGAUCCCCACCAGCUGCAACCUGUUCCAUAAUCAAGACCUCUAAAAAUACACAGCCCUGCCACCUCCACACUGCCAGAUCUUAGCCUCUGCUCAGUCAGUCUGCAUUUCAAGCCAUAUGUUCCUGCAUUGAUCUUGUUAUCCCGUUGUGCCUGGUUUCCCUAGCCUGACGCUGCUUUUCUUUUAGCAACAGUGCCGUCCGCUCUGACUCUUGUCCCUGUCUCAUCAGUCCUGCUUCUCUGCCCUGGACCCCCACUCUACUGCUUCCAUGGAUUCCACUCCGGACCUGCUUACCCUGCCCCUACUCCCCUUGCCCCAGCCUCAGGUCCUGGUUCCCUGCUACCUGCCCAAGCUUCCACUGGCCUGCACCCCAUCUCCCCCCCGCUUCUCAAUAAAUAUCUUAGUUACCUUAUCCCUGUCUCCUCGUCUGAGUUUGCACUUGUGUUUACCUGCUCUGCCCCGCCUAACACUACACCUGUUGUAUUCAGCGCAUGUGACAAAUACAAUUUGAUUUGAUUGAGGACCUUAUUACAGAUUAAUAUGUUUAUUUUUUAUGACCGUGUUUUCUUUCUUCUUACAUUUAGUAUUUUUAUUUUCAUGUGUGUAUUUUCUAUAAUUUCUGUAAUUCAGGGAUCAUCUGUAAAAUAGACCUUGGUCUCAGUAUGACUCCCUGAUAAAAUAAAGGUUACAUAAAAUAAAUAUGCCUGGUACAGUUGAAACCGGGAUUCAUCCAUGAAGAGCACAUUUCUCCAGUGUGCCAGUGGCCAUUGAAGGUGAGCAUUUGCCCACUGAAGGCAGUUACGACGCCGAACUGCAGUCAGGGGAAGACCCUGGUGACGAUGACGAAUACGCAGAUGAGCUUCUCUGAGUUGGUUUCUGACAGUUUGUGCAGACAUUCUUCGGUUGUGCAAAUGCACAAUUUCAUCAGCUGUCAGGUAAGCUGGUCUCAGACUAUCCCACAGGUGAAGAAGCCAGAUGUGGAGGUUCUGGGCUGAUGUGAUUAUGCAUGGUCUGCUGUUGUGAGGCCGGUUGGACAAACUGACAAAUUCUCUAAAAUGAAGUUGGAGGCAGCUUAUGGUAGAGAAAUUAACAUUACAUUCUCUGGCCACAGCUCAGAUGGACAUUCCUGAUGUCAGCAUGCCAAUUGCACACUUCCUCAAAAGUUGAGACAUCUGUGGCAUUGUGUUAUGUGACAAAACAUCACGUUUUAGGGUGGCAUUUUAUUGUCCCCAGUACAUGGGGCACCUGUGUAAUGAUCAUGCUGUUUAAUCAUCUUCUUGAUAUGCCACACCUGUCAGGUGGAUGGAUUAUCUUGGCAAAGGAGAAAUGAUCACUAACAGAGAUGUAACAAAUUUGGGAGAAAUAAGCUUUUUCUGCUUAUGGAAGAUUUCUGGGAUAUUUUAUAUCAGCUCAUGAAACAUGAGACCAACACUUUACAUGUUGUGUUUAUAUUUUUGUUUAGUAUAAAUGUAGGUGCUAUGUGUCAAUGACUAGAGAAUAGGAACUUUGUGAAUAGAAAGUUACAGUGUGAGAAAAAGGAAACAGAAUGUACUGUAUGUCUAGAGUCUGUUGAGAAAGACAGACAUAGUGUUACUGGUAAACAUCAUGAGGACCUGGUACAGAGGAACAGCUACCAGACUGCUCGACCACGAAGACCACAGAGAAACUAUUAGGCAGUUCUGGAAAACAGAUGCACAGUUCUGAGAAGUCACACCCCUAAUCUAGUGUAGACAUGUAAACGCUUGUUUGGUUAUGUAAAAGUCAUGUUUGCAGCUGAAGCAUCCAGUGGGUUGAAUAAACUUGGUUUGAGCUUUCUCUGGUGUCCGUUUGAGUUCAUACUCUCUUCAGAACCUAAAACUGUUGAGUGUAAAAAACCCAGCAGCGUUACACUUCUUGACACAAACCAGUGCGCCUGGCAUGUGCUAACAUACCCCGCUCAAAGGGACUUCAAUCAUUGUCUUGCCCAUUCACUUUCUGAAUGGCACAUAUUAACAAUCCAUGUCUCAAUUAUCUCAAGGCUUAAAAAUCCUUCUUUGACCUGUCACCUCCAAUUCAUCUACACUGAUUGAAGUGGCAUCAAUAAGGGAUCAUAGCAUUCACCUGGUCAGUUAGUCAUGGAAAGAGCAGGUGUUCAUAAUUUUCACUUUUUCCACGUAUUGUUACAUAACAGACAUUCUUAUUCUAAUAGAAAAUGUUCCUUAAUCUACACACAAUACCCCAUAAUGACAAAGCGAAAACAGGUUUUUAGAAACUGUUGCAAAUGUAUAAAGAUGUUUCUACAACUUGAUUAGAGUCCACCUGUGGUAAAUUCAAUUGAUUGGACAUAAUUUGGAAAGGGAUACACCUGUCUAUAUAAUGUCCCACAGUUAACAGUGCAUGUCAGAGCAAAAACCAGGCGAUGAGGUCGAAGGAAUUGUUUGCAGAGCUCAGAGACGGGAUUGUGUCGAGGCACAGAUCUGGGGAAAACAUUUCUGCAGCAUUGAAGGUCCCCAAGAACACAGUGGCAUCCAU
ensembl:lncRNA